GACGAACGCUGGCGGCGUGCUUAACACAUGCAAGUCGAACGAAGAGCGAUGGAAGCUUGCUUCUAUCAAUCUUAGUGGCGAACGGGUGAGUAACGCGUAAUCAACCUGCCCUUCAGAGGGGGACAACAGUUGGAAACGACUGCUAAUACCGCAUACGAUCUAAUCUCGGCAUCGAGGAUAGAUGAAAGGUGGCCUCUACAUGUAAGCUAUCACUGAAGGAGGGGAUUGCGUCUGAUUAGCUAGUUGGAGGGGUAACGGCCCACCAAGGCGAUGAUCAGUAGCCGGUCUGAGAGGAUGAACGGCCACAUUGGGACUGAGACACGGCCCAGACUCCUACGGGAGGCAGCAGCGGGGAAUCUUCCGCAAUGGACGAAAGUCUGACGGAGCAACGCCGCGUGAGUGAUGACGGCCGUCGGGUUGUAAAGCUCUGUUAAUCGGGACGAAAGGCCUUCUUGCGAAUAGUGAGAAGGAUUGACGGUGCCGGAAGAGAAAGCCACGGCUAACUACGUG
rnacentral:rRNA from 1 species